rnacentral:rRNA from 1 species
UGCGUAGGCGGGGCAAUUAGUCAGUGGUGAAAUCCUGCGGCUUAACCGUAGAAUUGCCAUUGAUACUGUUGCCCUUGAGUAUAGUUGAAGUGGGCGGAAUAUGUAAUGUAGCGGUGAAAUGCAUAGAGAUUACAUAGAACACCAAUUGCGAAGGCAGCUCACUAAGCUAUCACUGACGCUGAGGCACGAAAGCGUGGGGAGCGAACAGGAUUAGAUACCCUGGUAGUC